rnacentral:rRNA from 1 species
UCUGGCUCAGAUUGAACGCUGGCGGCGUGCUUAACACAUGCAAGUCGCGCGUGAAAGGACUUCGGUCCGAGUAAAGCGGCGCACGGGUGGAGUAACGCGUGGAUGAUCUACCCAUGAGUUAGGAAUAACGGCUGGAAACGGUACGCUAAUACCAAAUACGCUCCGAUUUCAACUUCGGGGGAAAGGGUGGCCUCUGCUUGCAAGCUACUGCUCAUGGAUGAGUCCGCGUCCCAUUAGCUAGUUGGUGGGGUAACGGCCCACCAAGGCGACGAUGGGUAGCCGGUCUGAGAGGAUGACCGGCCACACUGGGACUGGAACACGGCCCAGACUCCUACGGGAGGCAGCAGUGGGGAAUAUUGCGCAAUGGGCGAAAGCCUGACGCAGCGACGCCGCGUGAGGGAUGAAAGGUCCUCGGAUCGUAAACCUCUGUCAGGAGGGAAGAACCGCCACGGUGCUAAUCAGCCGUGGUCUGACGGUACCUCCAAAGGAAGCACCGGCUAACUCCGUGCCAGCAGCAGC